AGCUAAUAGAUACCCGGGUAGUCCACGCCCCAAACGAUGUCUACUAGUUGUUGGUGGAGUAAAAUCCAUGAGUAAACGCAGCUAAACGCGUGAAGUAGACCGCCUGGGGAGUACGGUCGCAAGAUUAAAACUCAAAGGAAUUGACGGGGGCCCGGCACAAGCGGUGGAUUAUGUGGAUUAAAUUCGAUGCAACGCGAAAAACCUUAACCUGGCCUUGACAUGCCACUAACGAAGCAGAGAUGCAUUAGGUGCCCGUAACGGGAAAGUGGACACAGGUGCUGCAUGGCUGUCGUCAGCUCGUGUCGUGAGAUGUUGGGUUAAGUCCCGCAACGAGCGCAACCCUUGCCAUUAAUUGCCAUCAUUUAGUUGGGCACUUUAAUGGGACUGCCGGUGACAAACCGGAGGAAGGUGGGGAUGACGUCAAGUCCUCAUGGCCCUUAUGGCCAGGGCUUCACACGUAAUACAAUGGUCGGUACAGAGAGUUGCCAACCCGCGAGGGGUAGCUAAUCUCAGAAAGCCGAUCGUAGUCCGGAUUGUUCUCUGC
rnacentral:rRNA from 1 species